GCUGGGCGCGGUGGCGCGCGCCUGUAGUCCCAGCGACUCGGGAAGCUGAGGCAGGAGGAUCGCUUGAGCCCGGGAGUUCUGGGCUGUAGCGCGCUAUUUCGAUAGGGUGUCCGCACUAAGUUCGGCAUCAAUAUGGUGACCUCCCAGGUGCGGGGGACCACCAGGUUGCCUAAGGAGGGGUGAACCGGCCCAGGUCGGAAACGGAGCCGGUCAAAACUCCCGUGCUGAUUACUGAGUGCUACAUCAGCAUGUUCAAAGGAUCUUUUGCAUGCCUUCU
rnacentral:SRP_RNA from 1 species